rnacentral:lncRNA from 1 species
AAACACUGCAAACUGCUACAGACUGCAUUAGAACAUUCAUAUGGUAAAAAGCCUAGUAUGCAAAAGGCCAAGAGUAAAGUUCUUACCUUCAAAAGUUGAAGCUCCAGCUCCUCCUGCAUGGCAUCAGACCCCAGCACUAAAGGAACUUAGCGUAUAUGGAAUCGCCAAUAAAUAAGGUACUUCAAGCAUCAGUUUGUUCUAAUUUAGAAAAUAUAUGCAUUUCGAUAGAAUUCUUAUCAUAAUAUAAACUAAGUGUCGUAUUUAAGUUAAACGUAGGUAGUAACUAAAUAACUAAAAAUGUUAAGAAAAUAAACUGCAAAUCCAGAAAAAAAAAAAAAGAAAAGAAAAGUGCUUGUGGUCUUUCUGCCCUUCGAACCAUCAAGAUUACACAAAGGGAUAGGAUUAAUAGGGCACUCAUAAACUAGUUUUCUUAAGUUUAUAAUUGCAACAUUCCUUGCACAACAAAUUGAACGUGAGUAAGAGGACAUAAAUUCAAACACAAUGAGAUGAAUACUAAUUGGCAAUCUCAUUUCUCUUUGCAACAUGAAACAUUUCGCCUUGUAAACACUACAUCCAAUGUUUCUUUAGUUUAAUCGAAGUGAGACAUCGAGAAACACGCUUAACGAUUCAAUCAUCUACCGAUACUCGAUCGAGUAAACUCGAAAUUAUAUAUUAAUAAGAAAUGCAAAAAAUUAAAAUAAAUAAAUGAAAAUUCUCGUAACACUGAUCGCUCGAUUCGAGUGUGAUUCAAUUAGUUACGAUUAACUAAGAAGACAAGAUCGAGAAGAAAUGAGAAUUUCAAAGAGAAAUUAAGUUACCGCGACAGCAUUACAAGCAGCACAUUUGUCUUCGAUGCAAGCAGCUACUGAGAAGAUGACGAAUAGCAUCACAAGCCACGUUAUUGACCCUGCCAUCUUCGUCUCCUCCGAUUUCGCCUCUCCCGGUCUCUCUCUCUCUCUCUCUCCAUGGAAACAAGAAACGUCUGUUUUAAUUCAGAGAAGACUCCAGGUAUGGGCCUUUAUGGGCCUGCGGCUCAUUCAAUAGAUUUUCAAUUUUAAUAUUUUUUUUAAGCUUAAAUAGUAAAAUAGUACAUUUACCAUUUAAACUUUUUUAUUUAAGCUCUUAUACAUACAUACAUAUAAAUAUAUAUAUUUUUUCCAUAUUGACUCUUAUUUAUUUAUAUUAUUUUAAAAAUUCAUGUUAUUUUAUGAACUAAAAUAUUUAUAAUAACUUGUAGCGGUGAAAUUUAAUUUAAUCACUAUAAUUUUAUUAAUAUAUUAAUGAAUUAAAUUAUAAAUUAAAAUUUUAAUUAUUUUUUAAUUUAUAACAUGUGUAUUAAAUUCUAAAUAUUUAAAGCUACAAAAUAAUUAAAAUCAAUAUAUAAAAUUUCAUUAAUUAAACAACAAAUUUUAGAUUGGCAUAAAUAGUUACCAUUUAAACUUUUUUAUUUAAGCUCUUAUACAUAUAUAUAUAUGUUUUCUAUAUUGACUCGUAUUUUUUUUAUAUUAUUUUAAAAAACUAUAUGUUAUUUUAAGAACUAAAAUAUUUAUAAAGUUAGAUUCAUAAUAAUUUAUUGCUUGAAAUUUAAUUUGAUUAUUAUAAUUUUAUUAAUAAAUUAAAUGAAAAAUUUUAGAUUGGUAUAAAUUACUUGCUUUUUAGCCCUAAAGUUAUAUGUUAUGUUGCAAUUAAGUAUAUAUAUUUAUUUUAAUUUGGUUCCUAAUCAUAUAAAAUCACUUAAAAAAUAUAAUUUUUAGUAAAAGUUUUUGUAUAAGUAUAAAAAAUUAAUAAUUUUUUUUUAUUCACAAAACAUAAAAAAGUUACAAAAAUUACAAUCAUUCUAUUUAGUAUUAUGAUUAAACAAAUUCAAAAAAUUAUAACGUAUAUUUAUUUAUUCCAUAAUUAAUUUUAUCAUCGUUUGUAUUGUUCUACAUAAAUUAACUUAAUUAUUUUCGUUAAGUCUAAUAAAGUUGAUCUUUAUUUAUUUAUAAUUUUUAAACUUUAUAUAAAAUAAAUAAAUAAAAAUUGUGGUAAUAUUCUGUCACACUUUAUUAUGGUUGUAUAAAAUAAUAAUAAUAAUAAUUUGUAAUUUUAAGAAUUAGAUUAUAACAAAUUUUCAAAACCUAAUUAUGCCAUGAUGAUUAAUUCAAAAUUAAAAAUCAUAAUUACUCUACACGUUAAUUAAUAGAUUAGAGUACCCUAAAUACAUGCACCUUUUUUAAAAUUUCAAUUACUAUAAAUUUAAUUUAGUUUAUAAAAAUUAAUUUUUAUUAUAUAAAUUAUAUUUUUCUUUAUAUUAUCGUUUUGACACACAAUAUAUAUAUAGGUAAUUAAUUUUUAGCAUCUAAUAAGUACAAUUUUAAUAAUAGUAAUAAAUAAAUAAAUUACAAAGUACACUAGACGCAGGUUGUGGGGCCCGAUUUAUGUAGGUGGGGUAGGCCCCACACGGAGCGGAGUGCGGUCCUAAAUCCAGGCCGUCCGAUUAGAGCGUAAUGUAUUCCAAGAUUAGAAGCCAAUUUGGAAUGCACUUUUUUAUUUUUGUGAAAUUUCAUGAUUUGCUUGUUGGUAUGUCUGAAAAGGCACGUUAUGUUGUAGCAUAGUCGUACACUUUUUAUUUAUUUAUUUUUUAAUAAUUUAUAUUUUAUUUAAAAUUUUAAAAAAUUUUGUAAAUAUAUAUUAUUUAUUUAUUUUUUAACGGCCAGUAUUUUAUUUAAAAAUUAAAAAAAAAAAAAAACAAUUAUGGAGAAAUCUUUUGCGAUGAAUACGAGAGAAGCCACUGCAGCGGGGAGUGGUUUUUGAUGGGAUAAUCAUAUUUUUACAUUUGACUAAAUCAACGAACCCCCGUGGGGUCCACCAUCUAACAACCCUCCGAAUUUCACUCAUUGCCACUCCCCCAUCCCCCGCUCCUUCCACUCCACACGCUAAAUCUCGCACGUGCUCCGUCCGUCCCAUCCGACGGCUCUCAACACGUCUACAAUUUUAUAAUCAACGGACCCCGGCGCACCUGAUAUGAUGCCCGGCUAAAAGUGCCCGUACGGAAUCAAAACAAAGGCUGUGUUUUUUAAUCAGUGCUGCGUCGCUUUACUAAUUCCAGACCGACCAACCAGAACGUAAUUUUUUUUUUUCCGGUUUAAUAUUUUAUUAUUUGGGGAGAGAAAUAAAAACAAGAGUGCAGACACACAUACACACACUCUCUCUCUCUCUCUCUCUCUCUCUCUCUCUCUCUUCCGUGAUCGAUCCCGUUGUAUUAAAAUACAGGUCAAUGGAAAAUGUCGCAAAAUCGGCAUAUUGAGUCUUGAAACCGUGAAUCUCAUCUGAGAUUUAGCGUUUUGGCUUUGAAAAUUUUCUCUUCAAAGUGAGGAUUUGGUUUGUCAUUUCUCAGAUUUUGAUUUAUGAGGAGCAGUUCCGGAUGAUUUAGUGCGGAAGUUUGUGUUUCUGUUCGUGCAAUGUAAGUUUCGUUUCUUCUUACCGGAUUUGAAUUUUUGGUAAAGGAACGCGGUGUGUUACUGAGAGAUUUAGUUGGAAGAAGAGAAAACCUUCAGAUUUUGUGCUGUGAGAUUAGCUUAAAUUGGCUGUUGAGGGAGCUUUUCCGCGCAAUUUUUUUUUUUUUUUUUCCUUUGAAGCCGAUAUGAUGUAUUUGCGUUUCUUAGCAUUUAUUGCUGCCUCGUUUUUUGAGUUUUCGUUUGUUAUUUGUUUCGUAUCUCAUUUGAGGAAAUCUGAAAUGAGGAUUCAUUUUGAACGAAUUGUUGUGGUACCUUGACUGUUCCUGAUUUGACUUGUGGAAUUUAUCUUGAUCACGAAACAUUUAUCAAGGUAAUUGGAUUUUGCGUCCUUCUUUUACCUGCAAGUCGGUGUUUCUUUUUUUUGGGUACAAAAACUGGUGAAUCUUACCGGGAUUUGCUUUGAAAUAUAAUGUAAUUAAUCCUCUAACUUAAAAUCAGAUUUUUUGCUCUAAUUACCUUUUAAUUUCACAUAUUUGCUACCCUAGUUGAAUUAUUUCUUCCACUUAGUUUACGGGCGUGAAAAUUCCGUAGACUGUGAUCAUUUGAGACGGCUUGCAUUUUAAGAAAUAUUUAUAGCUAAAUUCUUUAUCUUUAUUGUAAUUCUGUUCCAAUGUGUUUAAGAAAUAUUUAUAGUAAAUUUUUUUCCUUAUGGUUCUUGGGAAAGUUGGAAAAGCAAGAGUAUUGCGUCUACAGUCUCAAGCUUAAUAUGAAUUCCUUUCCUGUCCAUUUACUUUUUAAAUUUUAAUUGAAAAAUUCGGCAGAAGUAGAUAUGAUUUUGCAAAAAGGGUUUGUGAUAGAGGUAACUUUUUCUUGUUAUUUUAAUCAUAUAUGUGGGAGUCAUGUAUAUAUUCUCUUUUGUUUAUGAAUCACCAGAAUCUUUUUCUUGUUCAAUCAGUAUGCAUUUCCCUUCUAUUUACACAACAUUGAUGUAUUUAGAUAAUCCUAAUUGUGCUGUUGCUGAAUUGCUUCAUGGUGUUUUUAAUUCUUUAAGAGGGUUGGACAUAAUUUAUCUGGGUUUCUUUCUGUAGAUGGAUGAUAGAAUACAGGCUGAGCACCAAAUAUCAUCAUCAAUAGACGUCGAACGAAAGAAAUGGGCUUUAUGCUUUUGAUUGCAAAAGAUUAGAUAACAGAAUGCUUUCUGAGAAGCUGACAGGAGAAGAAUCAUUUCAUCAGGAUUUUGAAGUGCUGAGCAUCUCAAAACGGCUAGUGAGAAGUGUCAGUCAAAAAUUAAGAAAGAAGAACCGCAGGAGUGAAGAAGAGGAAGAAGCAAUUACAAGAAGGAUUUCUCUCAACUGUCUUGCUCUAUACGGCAGAGGUGGUGGCUGCAAAGUAGGAGCUGCCACAAGCGAGGAAUUUGGGGAUCCAAAUAGUAGAAGGAAGUCAAGUGCCAGUGAAGAAGGGAAAGGAUACAAAGUUAUAUGUGGUAAUGAGGAAACUGGAGUGGAUUGCUUCUCUUAUGGUGUGAAGGAGAAGUUUUGGAAGAAAAGUAACAAAAAAUAUUUGCAACUUGAGGAGUCAGUUCGAAAUAGCAGGAUGCACAUUUUUCUUCCAGAUGAUAUUCUGGAGAUGUGUUUGGUGAGACUGCCAUUGACCAGUCUCAUGAAUGCUCGUCUUGUGUGCAAGAAAUGGAGAUACUUGACUUCUACUUCCCGGUUCCUGCAGAUGAGACGAGAAGGUUCUCACCAGAAUCCAUGGUUGUUUCUUUUUGGUGCUGUUAGAGAUGGCUAUUGCUCUGGGGAGAUUCACGCAUUGGAUGUAUCUCAAGGACAAGGGCAUAGAAUUGAUGCUGGCAUCCUGAAAGGAAAGGUUCAUGUUUUCUGUUGCCAGUAUCCAAGAUGAUAUUUAUAUUGUUGGAGGUUGUUCUAGUUUGACAAACUUUGGUAGGGUUGAUAGAAGCUCAUUCAAGACACAUAAAGGAGUAUUAGUGUUUAGUCCUUUAACUAAAUCUUGGCAUAAAAUUGCAUCAAUGAGGUAUGCAAGGUCAAUGCCUAUUUUGGGAAUAUCUGAGGUUGGUUCAGAUUUCUUGAUCAUUCAAAGUCAUCAAAACCAGCAGGAUAGGCGUUUCCCAAGGUCACGAACUGGUGGGGUGUCCGAUGUUUAUGGGGAUCCUCACAGGAUUUCCUUAAGACGCCAACAAAGAAGUGGUUUUGAUGAAAAUGAGGCUUCAUCCAUGCCAUGCAAAAAAUCACACAAGUACACGAGACAGAAAAGUGAUCAGUCAAACACGAAGGGUUCCAAAAGAUUUGUGCUGAUUGCUGUAGGCGGUCUUGGAUCUUGGGAUGAGAGUCUGGACUCAGGAGAAAUCUAUGAUUCUGCAUCAAAUAAAUGGACCGAAAUCCAGAAGCUGCCUAUAGAUUUUGGAUCUGUUUGUUCAGGGAUUGUUUGUAAUGGAAUUUUUUAUGUUUAUUCUGAGACUGAUAAACUGGCAGGUUAUGACAUAGAAAGGGGGUUUUGGAUUGGAAUUCAAACCUCUCCUUUUCCUCCUCGGGUUCAUGAAUACUAUCCAAAGCUUGUGUCUGGUAAUGGGCGACUAUUCAUGCUUUGUGUCUCAUGGUGUGAAGGAGAUGGUCAGAUUGGCAGGAGAAACAAGGCUAUUAGGAAAUUAUGGGAGCUAGAUCUUAUGUAUCUUAGCUGGUCUGAGGUGUCUGUGCAUCCUGAUGCCCCAAUGGACUGGAAUGCUGCAUUUGUUGCAGACAGGAAUCUGAUAUUUGGAGUUGAAAUGUUCAAAAUAUUUGGUCAGUUGUUGGACUUCUGGACUGUAUAUGAUGUGUCUGAUAUGAGAACAAACUGGAGACAUAUUUCGAGAAACCGCAUGACUCAUGAACUUGAUGCAUCUUCAUGCAUGACAAAAACAAUGGCUCUGUUACAUCUUUAGUUAACUCUGCAAACUGAGCUUAUUGCCGACAAUUUUAGGUAUGUAUUUGCACUCAUGAGGAGAUUUUGGAUGCAUGUUGUGACCUCCGAGUUUCUUAUUGAAUUCUUUGGAUUUGAUGAAAUUGAAACAUGUCCAUUGUCUCUGAUCCCCUUCAUUGUUCAUCGCUUUCAUGUAACUUUUUCACCUCCGUUAUUUGCCAAGUUCCAUGGACUAUGGAUCUUGUGUUUCAUGUAACUUUUUGAAUCCAGGAUACUCUUUUUAAAGGUUCUUAAUGCACACAUCAUAAACAGUUUGUUAUCGAAAGGAAUUCUAAUCUUACAUAAAUUUUAUAUGUUUAUUCUCAUUCUUUAGAAGAGUUUUUUUUUUUUUUUUUUUAAUUUUAUAUCAUGUCCCCUAUGAUUGUGUUUAACAAAAUGUGACAAUGAGCCGCCACCACAUAUUCAGAUGUAUUUCCUUUCAUCUUGAACCGGUCUGAGUUGCAUUUUCGAAGGUGAACAAAUUGAGAACCAGUAAGUUGGAAGGCACCCUGGAAGCAAGCUCACGACUAACCUAAACAAGAGAGACAAGUAAAUCUUCUUUGGCCCCGAUAUCAAUCUUCUUCACCACAAAAUACUCAAGAUAUCAGAAGUUUCUGUUAUUUGCAAAACUAAAUUCAAAUACUGCCGUGUUAAGAGAUCAGUGACCGAACGAAGUAAAAUCUGAAAUGCUGUCAUUAGCAACUACCAACUAGAACAAACAUGCAUUUGAAGCUUCAUCUAUUGAGCUUGACAAAUGAGAUGAAACAAAGAAAGUUGUACACAGGAUGAAAUAGUGAAGGAGACAGAAAAUGGGAAGAACUCUGAGAUGGACAAGUGAUGAUGAGAUGGGGUCAUUAACAUAAGACGGGGAAAUCAGAGGGGGGGGUGGCGGCAGAAAAUUAGACUUAAAAGAUGGAGUUUUAGAGGUGGUGAUGAGAUGAGAUGAUGAACAGAAGAUAGAGGGAAAUCAGGGGGUGGAAUUAGAACUCAAAGAUGGAUUUUUAGUGGUGAUGAUGAGAUGAGAUCAUGAGAGACGUGAUCGUGAACGAGAGUGUCAACAAGCGAGCUAGCCUAAAUUAUAAUUCCAGGGUUUAGAAAUAGGAACCUAAAUUCUGAGCUGGACUGAAUUAGAACGGAGAUUGGAAAGGUAAAAAUUUAAAUCAAAUAUCAGAACUCGAAUGGAAUUAAUUUGAGAUGAAAUUUGGUUGGGAUUACAAAAACCUAAUGUAGUAGCAUCUCAAAUUACAACCAAAUCCCAUUUCAAAUUAAUUCAACAAGAAACUACCAGCACAUUUGCUAGGACGGUGCCAUGAUUCACGUGAAGAAAUGGAAAUUAGUGAGGCAGAAUAUUGAAAAUGAAUGGCUUUCAAAACACUCUACAAAUUAAAAAUAUGCAAUAACCAACAUACAUUUAUCGGCAGUUUGAUGCUUUGCAGAUCAUAUCCAUACAUCAGCCUCAAAACUGCCUGUGACAAGAAGAACAAUAAUAAUACAUGAUGUGCACUCACCAAACUCGGGAUGGAGCCUAUCCCAUGUUUGGAAAUAUUCCAGAAAAGUUGGGUAUCUUAUCCACAUGUUUCAAGGCCCGCUCAGCAAUCUGCCGAGUUCGAUAGUCUGCAUGUUGGAAUGCAUCAACAAGUGCGGCACUCACAUUUGGAUCUCCAGAAACCUCAAAUGCUAUCUCAUCAGUGCGCAAAAUUCUCUCAACCAUCCAAACUGCCCUACUCCUCAGGUUCUCCGUUCGCUUCUCCAGUAAAACAUCAAGUAUUGGUUUAAUUCCCUCUGCUUCAUAUAAGACAUUUACUCCUUGUGCAAUAUCUACCCCAUCAUCUAACAAAGUAGAAAGCGCUGCCAGUACUGCCUCAACCACCUUUUCAUUUGUGUGGUCUAGUAGUGCCACCAACUCCUCCACCGCCUUUCCUUUCAGAAGACAGAAGCUUUCUUUCAAAGAGCAUGUUCCCCGGUGAACUGGGCAUAAUCCUAAUACAACAGGGGGCUUGCUAAAGCAUGGAAAGAUUGAGGCACAGAAACCUGGCAGUCGCAACUCCGGUAAGUUUGUCAAAUUUUUAGAUUCCUGAGACAAAUUCUCCAAUGCCAUGGCAGAAACCAUCUGUAUAUUGUCAAGUCCAUUGGACUGAAGUAGUUCAAUGAACAGUGCUGCAAGAUUGUACUCACGACAGAGGACAAUAGCAUCUGGUUCAUCAGGCAGGACAAAUGUAACCCUUAGAAGAACCCGUACAAGCCCUUCUAGAAAUGGUGUUACAAAGCGGAUGCCCCUAGCCUCUCCCUGCCGAAUCUUAACCACUUUUGAAAUGAUUGACUGAAAGGCACCUUCAUCUAGUAAUUGGUGUGUCAAGCCCAAAUCCCGCUCUGGAAGUUCAGCUAAAAGGCCAGCUGCUGCUGCCUGCUCCUCAGUAAUUCCAAUAUUUUCUGAUAUGACUUUGAUUAGGGUGCCAAGCUGGCUAGCUGUGCCGCGUAGGGCAUCUGCUAGCUCCUGACUCAUGUGAGGAGAGAGGUUUUGGAGAAGUUUGAUGGAAGCUACACGCAAAUCCUUUUGGGAAGCCUCAAGAAAUAGAACCAAACUGAUGAUAGCACCAGAACUUUUAAUGGCAGCAACUACAUUCAGAACAGUGGAAGGAUAACUAGUGAGUCCAACAAGAACCUGUAAGAGCUUGCACGCAAUUGCUGGACCAGUAUUACUAAUUAGAUGAAGCAGGUUAUGGACUAUUUCUUCUGAAACCAGGGUUUGAUGAUCAGAUCCAACAAAGAUGGAGUCAAAGUCGUAGCCAGAACUUACGACGUUGGCAAGAAUUGUUGCAGACACCUCCUUCAGUCUAGUGGGAAGUUGAUUGGCACCAAAACUAAAGAGGUCCUUGACAAGAGGAGGAAGGAUUCCUGCCUCAAGUAGAACUUUGGCACUUCCCUCAAAAGAUGAAAUUGAGUUAAGAGCUUUCAGUGCAGCUUCUCGUGACUGCAUAUUACCACUUUUCAUAAUAUUGAUGAGAGAUGAACCUGCAGUUUGAGCCACAAGGACCUUCAUGUCAUUGUUUAAAACCAGGUCACCAAGGAAUGAAGCCAUUGACAAUUUGGUUUCCUGUGAACCUGCAGCCAUUAUAAAGAACGGAAACUCAUUAUAUUGGUGCAAACAUUUUUGUGAGCUAAAACUAGAAUAAAGAGAAAAGAUUUGCAAAUGGAUUCAGAAGAUGUUUCACAUUUCUUUCUGAGUCUUUAAUUUUUUUUUAUAAAAAAAUAAAGAUAACAACAAACUUCAUGAAACAAGACUGUCCAAGACUGGGAAGAUGUAUCAGUAACAUACCAGUUAGCAAUGACAUGUCAAAAAAGAAGUAACCUUGUAUGGUAAAAAUACAUUUGCGCUGGGAAAUAGUGAUAACUAGGAAAAAAGGAAAAAUAAAAAAAGGCAACUCAUGAGGGACAGAUAAAAGAGAAAAAUACAAUGCCUCCUGAAGCCUUCUAAACUCAAAAAUUCCAUACUUUAAUAGUUGAUUACAGGAAGAAGUCAAUCCUUCUAAUGUCUUCUGUUUUAAUCAUUGCAAAGUGUAAAAAAAAAAAGUCAUACAAACAACAAAUCAAUAAAGUGAGAUUUUCAAAUAGACACAUGGUAUAACUUCCAUAAGGAAAAAAGAAUAAAUUUGAAACCAACCAAGUGUCAAGGACACUGCUUGUAGAAACAUAAUGCAAUGUAAAAAGCUAUAGAGGAGCAGAAGCACCUUUAAGGAGUAAUGCCGAUAGAGGCUGCAGUCUACCAUUUUCAGCCAUCUGCCUUACAUUAUUCUCAUACUUCUCCAAGUUUUCCAGCGUCUUUUCAGCUUUCUCAACUGUCAAAAUAUUUUCAGAUUUACUGCUUGACAUUCCAACCAAGAUGAGAAUUGCUCCAUUGAUUGAACCAAUCUUCUCAGACAAGGCUUCUGAUUUUGAGAGCUCGUACAACAAAGAGACUGCUUCCUCCCUCUCUUUCGAAAGCUCAUGAGACAAGAAUUUGACAAUGGUCCGCACAGUAUCCCCCUCGGCUAAUAUUGCCUGGAUAACACUGAAAUCCAGUUAACAAGAGGAACUAAAAUCAUCAAAGUAUUGUCAUUAUAGUUGUAAAAGAGACCAGCAAACCUCGGACAACCUUAUUAUCAGCAUCUUCUUCCACCAGAAUCCGCAGGGUCUCCAAAGCCGUACACCGAACUUUGCGACUGCUACUCUUCAACAUGUCAACAACCAUAGAUACUAUCUCCACAUUACGCACAACAUGUUUAUUUGAUUGGCUCCUCUGGCAGAUAUGCUGAACAUACUUCAAAGCCAGCAAAAUAUCACCUUCUGCACUUGAAAUAUUCAGUGAUUGACAAGCUCUUUCAAGCUGCGCAGUUUCAUUUCUAGCAGUCCAUUCUUCAAUAGUGUUUCGCAGAGCUAUACUAGGAUUCAGGUCUGUACUUUUUAAUUCCUUGAGAGUCAAUGGGCAAACAGGCUUUCUGCCACUCUCUCUACAUUCCUUGAACCACUUUUCAAUUGCUUCACGUUCAAAAGUUUGCCCAUUCUCCAAAGUAACUGGGUCACACAUAACUUGCUUUGUCAGAGGGCAAACAAACGCAUCAUAAAUAGGCUCUUUGUGCAGUCUCUCAAAAUAACAACUGUCAUCUGAUUGACUACCAUGGUUAUAGCUUCCAUCCAAGCUCCCAGCCAUGUGAUUGAUUUAGCACUGAAAGAAAUAAUAGGGCAUUAUAGUUAUGGUGAUCAAGACGGCACAAUACAAAACAAGAUAUCUGAUUCAGGAAGAAAACCAAACAAGAUAUCUGAUUCAGGAAGAAAACCAACAACAACUACUAUAACAACAAAGGAAAUGCAUUGUGGUCAAUAAUGUAAUCGCGUACCAUGAAGAAAGGACAUGAACACACAAAAUUGUGUUUCAAUUAUUUGUCAAGUUGGAGAAGUGGAGGCCUACAAAAAGUUCAAGAGUAAAAAAAAAAAAUGAUUGAAUUUAAAAUUCAAAUCAGUUCCCCUAUAGUUUCAUAAUAAACAAUAUCAUAAUCUCUGAUGCAAAACAAGAUAUUAUUUUGGAACCAAAUUUCAAUUAGAGGAAUUUUUUUGUAAUAGUUAUUAUUAUUUCAUAUGUUAAGUUAUUUAGAUUUUUUUUAGGCAUUAAAAUAUUUUUGGUUUCCUAUUUAUGUAGAUUUUAAGUAUUAUGGGAAUUAGAAAAUCUCUUUUAUAAAUUUUUUGUUAGUUGUAAUUAAUGUUCAUACAACAGCUAGUAGUUACCAAGAAGAAAAAGGAUAGACGAUGAUGAAUUAUAAAUUUCUCUAUUAGAUUUUAUUCUCUAUUAUUUUUCUUUGUAUUCCUUCUUUUGAUUAUUGUUAUGUCUAACAUAUCUGGUUCAGUAUAUUUCUCUUAUACUUCUUCAUAUUGAUCUCUAUUCCUUCUGGUCUAUCUUUAUUCUUCUAUUUCUCACUUAAAUUUUCUCUAUUUUCAAACUAUUUGUUUAUUUAAAAAUAAAUAAAUUAUUUGUAGGACAAGUUAGUUCAACUGCUAUUCGUCCUACAUCAGUUACUUGCAGAGCCCAACUUUUACUCCUACUUUCUGCCACUUUUACCCUGCAUAGGGAAAAAAAAAAAAAAAAAGAGAAAAGAAACAAACAGUGAAAAGGUCAUGCAACCUUUCCUAUUCACCACUGUUCGUUAAGAGGUCACUGACGCCACCAUAACCAGUGGACUCAUAAAACACUGACCAGCGUAAACCCGGAGCAUCAACAACUAAAACCACUGAAAAACACAUGACUCGCUGUUACUCCCAAACCUCUAUUAUCCUGCAGGAUCUUUAUCUUCCUAGCCACCACAAGUAACAUUGACCACUAACCUAGAAUCCUGUGACAAACAAAGUUGUAAUAUCAACCUCGGUCUCCACCUGUUCCUGGAGACUGGCACGGAGCCACACACCCCUGAACCCAGGUGAGCUUUACUUUUGCUACUCUGGUUGAACAAUUCACCCCUUAUUUUGACCCGUCCAGUUUGACCCAUUCGGUACAAACCUGUACAAAUUGGUUAUCCUUCAGUUCAAACAGGUUCAUAAGAUUUUUAGUGGGUUGUACUCGUUUUCAGUUUAGUUUGACUAAUGUGCAUUAGAUAAGUCGUUUCAGAGCAUAUCAAAGUUAAAGAUAACAGUUUGGCAUGAAAUCAGAUAAAAUUUUGGUUACAAUUUAUCAUACAAUCUGCCUGAUUAUCAUGAUGUGCUGUACUAAGUUUUUGCUCGUUAUGGAUGGAUAAAAAGUAUUAAUAUAUUUCCACAUAAUCAACCUUGUAUCUAACAAAAAUGUUCUGGAGAGGUUGUGUGCGCUAAAAAAUUCUUUACACGGACAUUGCAUAUAUAAUAACUGUACAAGAAUAUAACAAUGAGAAUGAGGAGCCUUUUCAACUAAAGCUUCUCUUAACUAGAAGAGUCAAUCUUGAAGUUCUUCUCGAAUCAGGGUGGUAGUUCAAAAGACAUUGGUUCCAGUAGAAAUUGUUUAUAUUCAUGCUAGUUAUGUUGAUAAAUUUCCUCCUUUCAACAAUCUUGUUCUACAUUCUAUUACUAUUGAAGUGGUUUUCUUCCAUGUAUAACUACAUUAAAGAGAUUUCUUUAGGUGAUUUCAUUUUGCCUAAUUGUUUUAUAAUCCAAGAGGCUUAUAAUUUUGGUUAAUUUUCAUUUUUUUUUUCUGGAAAUUAGCAAAAGUAACGAGUUUUUGAAAAUUUUGAAGAGCAUUUUUGAGCCUUUCCUAUCCUGAUGUUUUAUUACUUCAAAACUUGAGGUUGAGUUUUUACAGGUAGGUAUUGUUUCAGCAAGUUUUCAACGGAAAAAAUUUUUUACAAUAAUUUUUAUUUUGUAUUUUUAAGUUACUUAAAUUUAUCUACACAUUAUAAUAUUUUAGUUUCUUAUUUAUGUAGAUCUAAAUUAGAAUCUUUUAGAUUUCUUAUUCUGUAAUUUUUAUUAAUCGAUGGUGCUUAUAUAAAAGCUCGUAUAGCUAACUGAAAAGAAAAAGAAGACAGACGAAGAUGAAUUAAGAAUUUCUUCAUUAGAGUUUAUUCAGUUUUAUUUUUCUCUGUGUUCGUUCAUCUAAUUAUUAUUCUGUUUAGCCUCUCAUUCACUAUACUUUUCCAUAUAUUUCAGCACCUUGAUCUCUAAUUUCCUCUUAGUCCAUCUUUAUUUGUCUGCUAAACUUUCUCUGUUUCUAAACUAUUCAUAAGGUAAGUUAGUUGAAACGCUAAUCGUUCAGCAUCAAUCUCACUUCACAAACUUCACACAUCUAAUCUCAUUGCAACAGGCCUGAAAACAGUAAUCUCAAAAUCACUUCUUCCAAAUGCAGGUGAAUUCAAACGGGCACCUAUCUAUUUGAUCACCCAAAAUUAACUGAAAUAGCAUAUGUAAGUUAGUUGAAACGCUAAUCGUUCAGCAUCAAUCUCACUUCACAAACUUCACACAUCCAAUCUCAUUGCAACAGGCCUGAGAACAGUAGUCUCAAAAUCACUUCUUCCAAAUGCAAGUGAAUUCAAACGGGCACCUAUCUAUUUGAUCACCCAAACUUAACUGAAAUAGCAUAGGUAAAUGCGAACCCAACGGUGGCUCUCCAACCAAAAAUUCUGUGAAGCCUCACCCGUUGCCAGUCAACAAAUCCAAUUAAAUUUUAACUAAACCAAGCUAAUUUAGGAAUAUUCUCUACUCAUUAAUUAAUAAAGGAAGUAUAGAUGUACUAAAACUUAUCAAUUGAUGAGAAGCACACGAAUCGGGUCAAUAAAAGCAAGAAUCAUCUCAGUAAUUAACAAGUACUUACUCCUGCUAAUUGUCAUCAUGUGAACCAAACAUUCAACAAUAAUAUCUCACACUUGGAAGACAAAAUAAAAGAUCCAUAAAUCUUACCUAUAUCAAUUCCCAAGCCGAAGUAAUGAAUCUUGAAGAAUGAAACCCUAAAUAUCUAGUUGUAGAUUCCGAAAAGAGCUAUUGGUAUACAGCUGGAGCAAAGAAGAUAUCCAGAAAAAUUGGUUGAUUGUUCUUCCUCUUCCAUGGACCAAGUUAGCUCGCCUCUCCCCUGGAGAAUUUCGAAGUCUGUUAUUAAAGCGCGUAGGGUAGUGGUAGGUUUAUAAUAAACCUGUAAUUGGAAGAGAAAAAAAAUAAAAAAUAGAGGGGGCUUGGUUGAAGAAAGCAAUAACAGGAGCUGAAAGAGAAAUGAAGGUUAGCAUAAGAGAAGAGAGAGAGUUGACCCAAAUGCGAAUAGUCAUUGGAGAGAGAAGCGUUACGUAUGAAUGAAAAGCCACCAACCCCAAUGGUCCACAGUCUGCGUCCACGGCCAGCCAAACAUUAAUAUCAUUGGAGGGAACUAACUGGUAAUCAUCACUGAGUAGUAGAGUGGGACGGCAAAACGGUGCGUUUUACUCAAUCAUUUGCCUAGUCAACCCCCCCACAAAAUCAUUAUUUCUCAUUGAUUUGAAAUAUAAAUAGUGAAAAAAUAUAAUUAUAAUUUAUUUCAAAGGUUUAAAAUUUUAUUUUAAUAUUUUAAUUUUAAUUUUUAUAUUUACAUUUUAUUUGAAAAAAAAUAAAUAAUAAAUUACAAUUUUUAAAUAUUUAUAUUAUUAUUAAUACACACAAGGAACUUGGAAGUCCUCUCAGUCUAAAAAUUUAUAGCUUUUGCUGUUCCUAACAGCAGGAACAUACAAUCAGUGCGGUGCCAAUAAAACUGGUAAAGAUCUUGAGAAUUUAAGAUCGAAUUCUGAAUUCUGCUCGCAUUCGUAAUACCAAAAUGAGGGAAUCACUGUCUAUUCUGUAACUUCUGUUUGAUUAACCUCCUAUGAACAGUAAGAAACUAAAACGAAGCAUGCCACAAGCUCCAUUUGCAUAAACCAAGAGAUUUGCCUCCCCACUCUGCUAUUAGAACUUAAUCCGCAGAAAGGUUGUCGUUUGAUCAAAAGCAGUAUCAACAGAUGUCUUCUGCAAAUAUGAUGUCGAAGAUACAUUGCACUGUUCAAGACAAGUAGCCAUGAGGCAAGGAACACCGUUUCUGAAUAACAAGCAGAUGCAAACUAACUCUAAAGCACUACUUUUUGCAACUAUGUAUACAAUGUAACUUUUAUGCUGCUUAGAUUCAGAUUUUGAGAGGUUUCAACAGAAAAUCUGAAGACAAAACAUCAUACUGGUUCAUUUUGAAGAGUUUAAUCUCAAAUUAAUUUCAGAAGAACAUUCUCCAGAGACUUUUUCUUUUGAUAGUAAAGUAGAAAAAAUGUAUUUCAGAAGAUUGUUCUCCGGAGACUGUUAACAUGGUGUGAGUAAUAAAAUAGAUCAGGAAUUAAACUUUCCAAUGAGAUUCCUACCUUCAUCUUUGGGGAUGUUUGGUUGAUCAACCAGGAGCUGCUGGAGCACACCUAGAUCACUGGCACUGCAACAUCACAAUAAGAAUCAUGACACAAGCAAUAGCAGGUUUUGGUGUUUCAACAGGAACUGAAAGUAAGCAAGAUGAACAGAAAAUGUGGAGUAUUGGUCCUUCGUUUUCCAAGUUCUCUUUCAAACUUAAUUUGGUCAUGCGUUAAGGCAUAUCAUGGAGAAAUUCCCUUAAAAACAAUCUGACACAAUUAAUUCAUGACACGAGAAGACAUGGUGCUUCCAACUGAUAUAUCGAAAUUUACAAGUUCGGCAUACCUAGGUUUUAAGGAAAUGGCACAAAGAGCUGAUAGCAAUGAUGAUUUUAGAUGAUACCUGAGAAGAAAACGAAAUGGGUAAGUAUAUGCCACUAGCUAUAGAAUAUAGAUCUCUCAUCUCCAUAUAUUUGAGGCCUUGUAUGUAACAAAAAGCCUCUUGCAGCACAGUUUUCUCAAAAACAAUCCACCAUCUCUACAUUUGCUCUACAUUAAUGUGACAGAGACUCGUCCAGUAAAUGACCACUAAAGCCAAAAAUUUGCUAGAAAUACAACCCAUCAAAUACUGUAAAUAUGAUAAUUAAUUAUGCAUCAUAAGACAAAUAAAGCACAGGAAAGAACAAGCUAAAGAAGGCUGUAAAGUUCCAGGUACUGAAAAAUAGCAUACUCCGAUUGGUGCAUAAUGUAAAGAAGCAUAAGGCCAUCUAAGCAAUCCGCGAGGCAUGGUUUUAUGCCAACUCGUUGCUGCAGUUGUUUCACACCAAGCUUACUGGAACCUCCUUUAACAAGCUGUCUUCCGUCACGAUGAAUUUUCUCAAGGGACGAAAUAAUACUAUUAAACUCCUGUCUGCAAAUGUAAAAUCUAAAUCACUUCAUUUUCCCACAUGUCAUGGUAACCAACCAAAAAUGAAACAAAACCUACAAUGUCUUUUUCAUGGAAAGCAAAAUAAUUUCCAAAGAUUCCAUCUGCUUCUGCAAGACAGCAUCUUUGAUUCCAUCAACAGAACUCAGGCCACCAUAGUUUCUAGAAUCUUGAAUAACCUGACAAGGACAAGCAUUUCCAGCUUAGUAGCAGAAGCAGCAAGAUUAAUGGAGAAAGCUUAUAUGCAUGUACAUGAAAUUGGGGGUUUUCUCUCUUGAUACCUGCAGCCUCUCAAUAAUUGAAGAAGAGUUUCUAAAUUGUGAAAUUAACCGACAUUGAAGCUCCUCCCAUCGGUUCAUUUCAUCUUUGACCAUUUUGAAUUUUUUCUGGUAUUUCUUCACAAUUCCCUCCAUCAAAGCUCCAGAGAUGAUUUUUCUUCAAAUAAUUAUUGUAAAUUCUUCGAUCAUGAGGCUACAAUUUGUAGAUUAACAAAAUUACAAAAAUCUUUCUGUAGCUUUCUCCAAAAAAAAAAAACCAAAAAACCUAAGAGAAAAUUGAGAAAUCCCUUGAGUUUUAUUAUAGUACUAGAUUUUAUGCUUGUUUAACCCACAGAUCAACAAAAGGAGUUUUCCUGGCAGUUCUUAAGUCCUCCAGUGGUGGUUUUUUCUGGCACUAAUCACUGCCAAACCACCCCCUCUUGAUCCCUCCCAAUCAUGGAAAAGGUAACGGCAGCAAUAAUCAUCUAAUAUUCAACUCCAUAAAACUAAUUAAAUUACUUGAACAGAAAAAAGCACAAUAAUUUAAGUAGCGCAAAAAAAAGGGAAGAAAUAUGCAUGCAAACAUGAGUGUAGAGAGAGAUAAAGGAAAGAGAAUGUUUCUUGGUUAUAGCCAGCAGAGUUGGAAGUGAUCUCUUCCUCACAACCACGAGGUUCGAAAAUUCCAAAAAAAAGUUCAAAUAUAAUGAGUCACCAUCAACUCUGUCAUAAGAAGAAUCAAAUGCCAAAAAUAUAUACAUCGAUCUCACCCCAAAAAUUCAAGUCAAAAUGUUACAGGGCUAAAAAGUGCUAGCAGCCCCCUUGUGUUGUAAACUAAUUAACUAUAUCCUAAUUUUUCAUGCUAUUUAUUACGUCUUGACGACAUGCAAGUAUGGGAAAGAGAUAUCAAUGUUCGAUGCACCAGAUCCAUGCAAAGUAAAAAAGAGUCAAAAGGAUAAAUACAUAAAAAGAGAAAACAAGAAAAGCGACCUCCUUCAUCUUCUUCCUUGCAACAUUUCUCUGCAAUUAAUGAUUAAUAUCCGACCAUAAAGCAUUUUUUCAUGAAAUGCCACAAAGUAUUCCAACAUAUUCGGUCAAAACAUUGUUUAAUCCCUACCAUGAGUCAUAAAGCCUUUCAGCAUAAGAAGUAUAAGUGCCUCUACUCUAACGUUCCUGCCUCAAAUUUAUCAGGUCUCUAAACCAAACUACAUUUGGCACAUGCUCAUGCCACUUGCCACAUGCAAGGGCAUUUCUCAGUUGAAUGAACUCAACCUUUGCAAUUUAUAAUCUGAAAAUGUUGUUUAUUAAAAGCAUGCUUAAAAAGAUAUAUGAAUAAUUAAAGACUCCUCAUUCUUUCCAAGUACAAUUUUUCCUAGUACCAUACCCAUAAUUGCAUGCAUGCCUCACACAAAUUUUACUCCAAUCAGCUUGCCAAAAAGGUGCAUUCAUAAACAGAUUUGCCAAUUUAUUGCAUAUUCUGAUAAGGCAUUUCUUUUUCAUUGUGAUUUUCCAACGAAGCAACAAAAGGAGCAAACCUCCAACAGAUGACAUCAUAAAGAAGAGGGACUGUUUUUUAACAUUUUUAAACCCAUAGGUGGAUACAAUUCCAAAGUGUUCCACAUGCAAUUUCCAUUGCCUAAGGUAAUGCAUCCAAUGUGAUGCAUUCAAUCAUUUCUCUUCUUAAUGUAACAACUUUUUACCAAUAAAUUCAAGUGCCAUGCAAUACUUGUGCAAUGUAAACCUCACUAGGAGGCAGAUGGUCUGUUGCAUUUUAUGCAAUCAAGAAAUUAAGAUAAAAACCCUACAACACAAUCUGCACCAUGAUGAACCAUGUACGGGAAGCGUAAAAUUUUGAUAGGGCAAUCAGAUUACUUAAAUUGCAUAUGCUGACAAGCAGCAUGACAAUAUGGAUGGAUGGCUCAUGCAUUCAAUGGCAAGGCCUAAUAUGGCUUAAAUAGUCAGGUCGGACUCUUGCUUUUUAACACUAACAGAAAUGAAAAUUUUUCUAGAAAGAGGAAAAUGAAACUUAUAAACAUUUCAAGGUGUUCUGUACUGAGUAGAAUUCCAUUCCAUGUCUUAUGCAACAAAUAACAUAGGCACCAACCUACCCUAGACAUCUAACUACACAGUAUCCAUCGCUUGGAUACAACCUUCAUAUGAACAAAAGAGAUUUUUCAUAGAUUCAGUCAUGCAUCAGAUAAUGCAUUUAGUCCAAACCAAGUUCCCAUAUUUGAAACAGGAUGCCUCUGCCUUAUGCCCGGAUAGCGUUUAGGGCAUUCUACACUUGCACUUGUUUAGACACAAGCAUGGCGAAGGCAAAAGCACAGAAAACAGGGAACGAAACAUUUAAGAAAUAUCUCCAAUGGCUUCUGCCUUUUCAACCAGCAAUAUGUCUUAAGCACCCAAGGCUUGGGAAGAUCUUUCCAGACACAUAGUUGUCUGCAACAUAGGGAAUGAGAUUUUUCUAACAAGGAUUACACACAACAGCAGUUUUGCUAACUCAAACAAGGAACAGGCUCUUGGGCGAUUCUCAGUCAGACUCUUUCAAGACUUUCUUCAACACACAAUAUGCGAAAGGAAACAACCAGAGAAGUCAAGCCAACAUCUAAGCAUGAUCAAAGGUUUAUCAUGUAUGUUCUAUAGUCUCAUCAUUCUACAUCAUUAGGAAAAAAAAAUAAAAGAUUAAUAGAGAACGCAGAACAAACAGAUUAAUCCUCUCGUGAAUCAUUUCGAAAAAGAAAAUUAUUCAUCUUCAAAUUUAUAUCUACGCUGGUAUAUUCAAGAACCAAAGAAGGAGAGCUUGAAUAUACCGUUCCCUGUAAUAAUCAUAGAGGCCCAGAAUCCCCCCCUUUCUUUAGCUCCUUCUGGCUGUUGUUCCUCCCUCUUAAUUGCAUUCUGACCUUUACUAGAAGAAGAAGUGUCUCCUCUCACCUCUCUCAGAAAGCUUCUGCCUCCCCUCUUGAUUUCAAGAAGAAGAAUAAUAAUAUUAAAGCUUCUCUCCCCCUAUCGGCUUUUCUUCUUUUUCUAAUCGCUUCUUCUGAUUCUUCCAACAUCACCCUCUCUCCCUCUUGAUCACCCAGAAGGUAAGAAGAACAAGAAUCCCCUCCUUUACUAGGGUUUCCCAAAUCAACUCUCCCCUCUUCUCUCUGUUCUCUAGUUCACUUCAUGGAUUCCUCUUUCACGGGUCUAUGAUGUUUUAGCGAAUGAAACGUACAGUCUCUUUGGGAAGCAAAACUUUUCCUUUAAUCAUGAGACUGGCUACCCAAGUGAGUUUCACUAAGAAUGCUGUGGGCUGAUGGGCCCGAUUGGGCUUUGACAAUCGGGUUGGAUUUGCGGGCCGGGUCAGAUCUUUUGGGCUGAAGGGUUUAGAUAGUUAGGGUUCUGAGCUGGAGGUUACUAGGAGAAUAGGCUAGGAUUAUUUGGGGGUAAAAAGAGGGUUUAGAGCGUUGAAUGAUUGGAAGAUUAGAUGGGUUAAAUCCAAUACUUUUCUUUUAUUUUUCUCAUUUCCUUCUUUCUUUCUUCUCGUUUUCUUUUUGGAGGGAAUCUGAUCGAAAGAAGGGGAGUGAUUUGAGAGCGAGAGGACAUGGGAGUGAGCUUCUGUCAACGACGAAAUCAGAGAGAAGAGAGACCCGAAUAAGGUAAGGGAUUCUUGUUUGCUUUUUGGUACUUAUAGUUUGAAUCAAAAGAGAGAAGCUUCACUCUUCCUCAACCAGGUUUCAGCCUAUAAAUCACUCACCUUCAAUAUUUUAGUUGCGAGUUUUAUAAAGAUCAUGGCUUCAAGACUUUCUGGUUCCUCUUCUCUUUUACACCUUGCUGGGCUCUUGCGCUGGAACUUUGUUGAAUAGAAAACUGUUUCUGGGUUGGUCUCUCAAUUGUUAGUUAGAAUGCCUUAGAGAUUCUAUUUGGAUUGCACUUGUAAUAUUAAAUUUAUUUAUUAGAAGAUGUCUGCUAAAACACCUCUCAGAGUUUGGUGUCUUUAGCUGUGAUCGUUCAUAAGAAGAGCUCGCGUUGUGUUCAUUACCUAUUUGAUUUUUCCUGUGAACCAUGGGGGUUAGCUCUCUGUUAAUGUAUACCAGUUUUAUCUGGAUAUGAUUUAGUUGGCAAAGUGUGAUAAAGGUUUCAGACUCUUGUUGGGUGACUGAAAAGUAAUGUAAUGUUUUAAACUAAAUAUUAUAUCAUAUGUCUGUCUGAAAGAUUGAUUGUCUGUGAACGUUGGAGUAGUCAGAUCCUAGCUACAUGGUCAGUUGCAAUUGAUAUUUCUUUUUCCAGCAUUCACUGUUUUGUUAUGAAAGUUACUCUUAAAAGGGGGUGAAUGUGCGGUGUGCUUGAUUGGUGAGACUUCUGUUUUUUUUUUUCACAUCAUAGGACCAUUUCUAUUGUUUCUUGUGUGAUAGAACAUUUAAUGGCUUUAUUUUUUAGUUUCAAGUUGAUAUUCUUCUUACACAGCUUCCUUAGAACCCAACUGAAGGCCAAACAUAGAGAAUUAAUAGCUUGAUCAAAAUAAUCUCAUAAACAAGCUUCUUGUCAUUCUUAAGUGAUAUAAUAAAUAACAAGAGCUAAACGAGGAGAUUUAGGGAUCCAUGCCUCUUAUAAUGAUUGCCAUCUGAAACUACUUACAAAAUGAAUAUACCUAUUCUUAGCUGACCUCCAUCACAUAUGGAAUGGAAAGAAUCAAGUUCUUCAGGGUCGCCUGUUCUGUGUGGACAAAUUUGUUAUAUUGGGUAAUAUUUGCAAAGCAAAGUUACAAGUUGGCAACGACUUGAGUGAAAAUAAAAAUAAAUGUACAAUGAGUUGAGGUUUCGUUUGUGUGUUUGAUUUUUCCCUCUCCAAUAUGGUGUUGCAAUAAAUUAAUCUAGUAAAAUUUAUUGUAUGGAUGUCACGGUACCCAAGGAAUAUGCAUAUAGGCCCUAAUUUAAUUAGUCUUUGCUUUUAUACGUUGUCUUGUUUUGAAUCUGAUUUUUUGAAUUUAGACUGGUGCCAAUACUAAUGUAUUAUCUAGCUUUUAACAGAAUCAGUAGGGACUUCCAUUCCUAAUUCAAAUUUAUGUUUUUCAGUGGUUACCAUAUCCACUGUUGGAUGGCCAAAAUUGCAAGUAAUUUUACUUGCAAGUAGAAUUUGAAGCCAUAAUUUUCUAAGCCGCUGACGAGAACAAGUUUGUGUCUUGAAACUAAAUCUCUGUGGGGGAGUAAGAAAAAGUACCAAGGAUAGUGAAGAGAAAGGAAAUGCAGGAGCAGGAGAAAGAAGGGAAAGGAGAAAUAGCAUUUGCAUUAAUAGAAGAAGAACGAGAACAGCAAAAACAUGUAGUAGGAGACCAGAAUGUUUUGCAAUUCCUCGAUUCAAUGGAUAGCUAUUUAACACUAAUGGAUUCUUUAUCUUCAAGACUUCAACUGGUAAGCAAACCUCUUCUCUUAUCAAUUAUAUUACUAGUUUGCUUCUUUUGUAAUUUUCACUCUCUUCACAAUUAUCUUUGAUGUCAUAUUGGAAAACUCCAUUUCCAUUACCUAAUCUAAACUUGUGCUGACUGAUUUCAUUAGAUGUAGUUAAAUCCUCGAGGAUUUUCUAGUUGAGGAUAAAAAGAGCUUAAAAGUAAACAGUGUUCAAGUUGUCAAUUUUGAAGAUNNNNNNNNNNNNNNNNNNNNNNNNNNNNNNNNNNNNNNNNNNNNNNNNNNNNNNNNNNNNNNNNNNNNNNNNNNNNNNNNNNNNNNNNNNNNNNNNNNNNNNNNNNNNNNNNNNNNNNNNNNNNNNNNNNNNNNNNNNNNNNNNNNNNNNNNNNNNNNNNNNNNNNNNNNNNNNNNNNNNNNNNNNNNNNNNNNNNNNNNNNNNNNNNNNNNNNNNNNNNNNNNNNNNNNNNNNNNNNNNNNNNNNNNNNNNNNNNNNNNNNNNNNNNNNNNNNNNNNNNNNNNNNNNNNNNNNNNNNNNNNNNNNNNNNNNNNNNNNNNNNNNNNNNNNNNNNNNNNNNNNNNNNNNNNNNNNNNNNNNNNNNNNNNNNNNNNNNNNNNNNNNNNNNNNNNNNNNNNNNNNNNNNNNNNNNNNNNNNNNNNNNNNNNNNNNNNNNNNNNNNNNNNNNNNNNNNNNNNNNNNNNNNNNNNNNNNNNNNNNNNNNNNNNNNNNNNNNNNNNNNNNNNNNNNNNNNNNNNNNNNNNNNNNNNNNNNNNNNNNNNNNNNNNNNNNNNNNNNNNNNNNNNNNNNNNNNNNNNNNNNNNNNNNNNNNNNNNNNNNNNNNNNNNNNNNNNNNNNNNNNNNNNNNNNNNNNNNNNNNNNNNNNNNNNNNNNNNNNNNNNNNNNNNNNNNNNNNNNNNNNNNNNNNNNNNNNNNNNNNNNNNNNNNNNNNNNNNNNNNNNNNNNNNNNNNNNNNNNNNNNNNNNNNNNNNNNNNNNNNNNNNNNNNNNNNNNNNNNNNNNNNNNNNNNNNNNNNNNNNNNNNNNNNNNNNNNNNNNNNNNNNNNNNNNNNNNNNNNNNNNNNNNNNNNNNNNNNNNNNNNNNNNNNNNNNNNNNNNNNNNNNNNNNNNNNNNNNNNNNNNNNNNNNNNNNNNNNNNNNNNNNNNNNNNNNNNNNNNNNNNNNNNNNNNNNNNNNNNNNNNNNNNNNNNNNNNNNNNNNNNNNNNNNNNNNNNNNNNNNNNNNNNNNNNNNNNNNNNNNNNNNNNNNNNNNNNNNNNNNNNNNNNNNNNNNNNNNNNNNNNNNNNNNNNNNNNNNNNNNNNNNNNNNNNNNNNNNNNNNNNNNNNNNNNNNNNNNNNNNNNNNNNNNNNNNNNNNNNNNNNNNNNNNNNNNNNNNNNNNNNNNNNNNNNNNNNNNAUGUGGUUAUAUGCCUUCUUGUUUCGUAUGCCUAAGAAAUUUAUAAUUUUUGUACUGUUGUAGCUUCUGAGAUGCAACCUGAAUAUAUCUUGCGGAAAUGGGCAUCUCUAGACACUGGAAAGUGCUGUAACACAGAUGCAAAAUCUGAAGAGGUCAUGCUGCAUGGUCCAAAGCUACGGCAUCGGGGUGAUUCCCAGCUUUUGGGUAUACUUUUUUUCUUCCGGUGAAUGGAAAACUAGCAUGUUUCAUUAUUUAGGCAAUUAAUCAAUAGGGAUAUGCAAGACUGCAACCUUAGACAAUUUGCAUACUGAUUGUAGAAGCCAUUCAAUUAAUUUUGUAUUGCAUAUAACAUUUUUUUAAUAAAAAGUAUAAUAUAUGUUCAAAGAGCGCCAAAAUUGUCAAUCCGUACACAAUUAUUUACAAGUGAGUAAAAAUAUCUAUAAGAUCCCCCAUAUCCUCGCUAGAAUACAGUGAUUGUUACCUUAACUAAAAACUCAGGAUAUGGAACCACUGAUCUUUAAGAUUGUCAAAAUUAGAGUUAAUGCCCUCAAGAGCCUUUGUAUUUCUCUCUUUCAAGAUCACCCAAAAGUUAGUUAAUGGGAUGAGUCUCAAUCACUUAUCUCCUUGUAUGCUACUCCAAGCCCAUAACUCCUUCACAAAACCGGCUGUGACCCAAUCCACACCCAAUAAGCCAAAUGUCAAGUACCAAACGUGAUAUGCAAAAGGACACCAAAGGAGGAUGUGAUUGCAGGACUCGACUUCUCUCAUGCACAAGUAGCAGUCAUUCACAGUAAUUUUUCCCCUCUUAAUGAGGUUAUCCAGAGUAAGAAUGGACCCUCAGACAGCCUCCCACAUGAAAAAACUAAUCUUUGGGGUUGCAUUAGCUUUCCAAAUCAGCCUAGUGGAAAAAUUCACCUCCUUCGGUCCUCUCCUGUGAAGGAAGCAGUAUGAUUUUAGUAAAAAGACACCUGAAGUGCUUAGUUCCAAACAUGGCUUAUCACCAGUAGAUUGAGCCCUUGAAUGAUGAUAACGUCUUCAAGAGGUUCAUAUGUUCUAGGAUUUCGCAGUCAUUUAAUUUUUGCUCUAGCCCCAUCCACCAGUCCUAAUUACUACCUUGGCCUAUCAUGUAAUCUUACUAUGGCAUUCCGAUCAAGAGCAAUUACAUAACUAUUCGGAAGAAAUUGAUGGCAUAGUGCGCCUGUCUCCACCAUUCAUCUCUCGAAUAACUCACUAUAUCCCCCAACCGUGUAGACAAUCUAAUGCAUUUACAAAGGUCUUCUUUUUUCCAUAAUAAUUCUUUUCCACAAACUCACCCUAUUCGGACCCUUGGAGUGCUAGAGAACCACCCAUGUCUGUUCACGCCAUGUUUGGCCUCAAUGAUUCUCCUCCAAAGACUCUCCUGUUCCAUCUUAAAUCUUCAAAGUCACUUCCUUUGUAGUACCCUAUUCAAGUCUGAGAAGGAUCUCAAACCCAAGCCAUCCCUCCUAUAUGGUUGUUUCACAUUCGUCCUAGACCAGCAAAUGAUACUUACUCUUUUCUACCAUGUCUCCCAACAGAAAGUUGCAUUGGAUUUUUUUUGUUCUUUUUGCCACAAUAGCGGGUGUUGUUGCCAGAGGCAACAUGUAAAUGGAGAGGAUGGCUAAUAUGCUUUUAAUUAAUGUCAAUCUAUCGCCUUUGGGAAGUAGACCCCUUUUCAACCAGCCAAUCUAGACCCAUAUAUGUUGAUCACCAGUUUCUAAGCAUAGAUCUCAUUGAAUUUAGCUCCCAAUGGCAGUCCCAGGUAUUUAAUAGGUACAUUCAUUCGUUUGCAUCCCAGGAUUUUAGUUAUGUGCUCAGUCUCAUUAUUUGCCUCUAUCAUAACCAGCUCAGAUUUCGAAACAUACCAAUACACAUUUUAUUUUGAGACCUAAUACUGCCUCAAAACAUACUAAUACACAUUUGAUGUUGUGCAACACACUGUCAUCCCGCUCACAAAAUAGUAAAGUAUCUGUUAAGAAAACAUGGGUCAUUUCCACCCUCCUCUCAUCCUCCCUCACAAACAAACCUCUGAACAAGUCAGCUUCCCUAGCUCUGGACAAAAGUCUAUUGAGCACCUCCAUAACCACUAAGAAAAGCAAUGGACAUAGAGAUCUCCCUGUCUCAAGUCCUUGAUGCUUUAAAAAAAGCUGAGGGUUCCCCACUCACCAAGGUUGCAAGCAAUGUAGAAGAGGCACAAGCUUUAAUCCAUUUGCCCCAUUUUUCACCAAAACCCAGCCUAUCAAGCAUAUAGUAUAGGAACCUCUAGGCUACAUGGUCAUACACAUUUUCUANNNNNNNNNNNNNNNNNNNNNNNNNNNNNNNNNNNNNNNNNNNNNNNNNNNNNNNNNNNNNNNNNNNNNNNNNNNNNNNNNNNNNNNNNNNNNNNNNNNNNNNNNNNNNNNNNNNNNNNNNNNNNNNNNNNNNNNNNNNNNNNNNNNNNNNNNNNNNNNNNNNNNNNNNNNNNNNNNNNNNNNNNNNNNNNNNNNNNNNNNNNNNNNNNNNNNNNNNNNNNNNNNNNNNNNNNNNNNNNNNNNNNNNNNNNNNNNNNNNNNNNNNNNNNNNNNNNNNNNNNNNNNNNNNNNNNNNNNNNNNNNNNNNNNNNNNNNNNNNNNNNNNNNNNNNNNNNNNNNNNNNNNNNNNNNNNNNNNNNNNNNNNNNNNNNNNNNNNNNNNNNNNNNNNNNNNNNNNNNNNNNNNNNNNNNCGUUUUUUUCCUCCACGUAGGCUGGGGUUUGAAAACCCGAGCCCAUUUUCCUUUCUCCAUGGCCAAAAAUCUUCUGGGCCCAUUGGAUUUGAUCAGCUGGCCUCAUGAACCUGGCACAGACCCACCAAUGAAUUCAAACUUUUGAAUUUUAAAUUUUGCUCGAUUCGGAUCCGAUCUGGGGCUCUUCUUCUCCACCAGCUUCUGUGUUCCACCUUUCAAGUUCACCCCAUUUCUAAAUAUCCAACUCCACUUUAGCAAAGAUGUCCACCCUGCAUCUCAGGCAAUUCAUCCUACACAUCGACGUUUCUGACUUGCCCUCCAUUUGGUUCGUCACUGCCAGCAGCCUCCCCUUGGUGCCUGGCGCUUUCAGUUUCCCAAGGAGUUGACUCACCUUUCCAAGCAACCUUGACCACCCACUUGCAUGAAAUCUGUCUGGAAACACCACCCUCCUUUUGUCCCCUUUCCACUCCAUGAAUGAGAAGUGCUCACCCCAUCCGUUUUCCCCCAAGCUCAAUCCAUAGGCUAUGGCCUUUCCCAUCCCCCACCUCCUAACCCAAGCUCUUUUGCCCUUAUUCCAGUAUAAUACAAACAAACAGCCAUAAACCCAAUUUAUCUCCUCUUCCAGAAGGUUAUAGAUGAUCUGAAUCCCCUGCCAUUGUCACUCAGUUUAAGACCCUCCACAUCCUUACCCACCAGCUCCAACUUAAAGGAUUUCUGUUCCACAACCAGGAAGGCCUGGUUGAGGAAGUUGACAUGAAGACACCUAGACAAGGACUCAUCUCAGACUGGGUAGCACCAAAGAUACUCUUCUGUUAGCCAAGGCAGAGAGGAUUUUCUCUCUCAAAUUGCUGACAACAUGUUGCAAGAAGUUUUUCAUUUUGUUCACAAGUUAUUUAUGGUGUGAUGUUGCUCUAAUUAGACUGGUUGUGACAUUUUUUUAGAAGAGAAACCGAGAACCAAAGAUGGGGCAUUGAUGAGAGAUGAUGAUCAAGUAAGCAUUCUCCAUCUUCUAUCAUUUGUUAAAUGAUUUCAGCUUUAUUUAACAAAUAGUUUUGAUCCAAUAAUAUUUGAAUAAUAAAAAAUAGACUAAAUUUCAACAAGCACUGGCUAUCAAGCAAUCUUUUACUGCAAAUAUUAAUGAUGAUGAACUUAGUUAGAAUCCUCUUCUUCCAUCCUAGGUUAAAAAGGAAAGGUCCAAAUCUUUGUCAGUGUUUGGAACUCUUGUCUCACCGAAGCUUCGAGCAGCCCAACUCUCAUUUGAGACAGGUGCAUAAAUUACUACAAAUGUUCUUUGAAUUGAUUAAAAAAGAUAACUAAUUCUAGUUUUUACUGGCAGCUCUAGAGACACUAGUGAAAAUAGCGAACAUGCGUUCAUCAAUGCUAUCUGCAUUCGACCAAGUUUGUGCAGAGUUGGAAGCCAGCAAAAGAUGAAGAUGAACUGUUCCUUCAACUAAAACUUUCUAAUAGUUUCUUGGAAAAUAAUAAAACCCACCCAAAAUGAAAGUAAUAAAACUUGUGGUAGUUUCUUAAAGCCAAUUGAACCUGUAACGCAUUUCUAAUAGUUCCCCUUGGAUAUGGGAAAAGAGAGAUCAAAAUAGAAAGCAAACACCUUUUUGUUCUGAACUGUGUUUGCGAUGGUUAUUUAUUUGGAACAAUGGAUUUGUAAAAUUGGAGAAAGCUCUACAGUUUUUAUUUUUUCAUUUUAACAAAUUAGCACAAAGCAGCAACGUUGAGGUGGUCUGAAACUGGAAUAAUGCAUGUUGAAGGCGGGUGAGCCUUUCAGAGAUGAAGUGGGGAAAAAGAGUAUCAGAACUUUCUUUGUGCAAUUUGUGUUUGAAUUGUGUCUCUAAUACUUAUUGUGGGCUAUUUGCUGUAUAACCAUAAUUUCCAUUGGUUAAGCAUUGAUUUUCAUUCAAUUCUUCACUUGUAGAAAUCAACUUUAGCACUGUGUGCCCUAUCAGGUUGUGUAUGUGAUUUAAUCGCUUGCCAUACGCAUUUGUUUGGAUACUUGAUGUAGCAGAGUAGGGAAAUAUAUGAAGACUUCUGUUCAGAUACUUGGUGCAGCGGUGUAAGGAAAUGUAGGAAGAUUUUUGUUUGGAUACUUUGAUAUUGGCAGUGUAAGGAAAUAUAAAAGAGCAGGGUCUCGAUGUCCGCCUCGAAGUUUCACCAUCAAUCAUCCCAUGUCGAAAUGAAAAAAUAAUUUGAGAAAGUGCGUCAGAAGUAAAUGGUUUUACUUCCAACUUAGAAACAUGCAUGAAAGACUGAAGAAAUGAGGCAAAGAGCUUUAACUUGUCUUCUCUUGUUGGACAUACAAAUGGAAGGACAAAACGACCAGGUACAAUUAACAUCCCAACAAGAGGAUUACCUCCAGCAAAAUCACCACGUACAAGAAAUAAAACCACCGAACGGGAAAGUAAAAUUUCAUACAUCUCAGUUUAUCUUUGGUUUCCAUAAAUCAUUACCACUCAAAAGAACAGCAAGUUUCCUUUUCCUCAUCCUCACAUGGCACACCAGAAAAAAUAGGUAUGAUGAAAAUACAGCAAGGUCAUCCAGACCAACCCCAUACUAUUUUACAAAAGUCAAGAUACUGUUCCUAGAUAUACAGCACAAGAAAAAAAUGGAUCACAAUGAAACAAACUCAGCCAAAAUGGAGGUAAAGAGAAUAAGACACAAAAUUAUGGACCAUCUUCUCCUUUCAACUUCACAAUUUGCAGCUACAAAGCAUUCCAACCAUCAGAAAGCAUUCCAACCAUCAGAACCCUUCUUCGGACUUCUAUUUUCUGAUGAAACCUUAAAUGGACCACUGGAGCCAAAUGGAUCAGAAUCAUCAAAUGUGAAUGCAUGAUUGCCACCAAAAUCUUUGCUGCUGUUCAUGGAGUCAAACCUGGUGAGUCUCUCCGCACCAAAGUCUCUGCUACUACUCAUGGAAUCAAAUCUUGUGAGCCUCUCGCCAAAAUCUCUUGAGCUAUUUAUGGAAUCAAAUCUUGAGAAGCCACCAAAAUCUUUGGUACUAUUCAUGGAAUCAAACCUUGUGAGCCUCUCAGGUUGCUGGGAAAAUCCACCAUCAUUCAUGUUGAAUGAAUCAAAUCUUGAGAAACUAUCAAAGUUAUCUCUUGAUGCCUCACUGAACCUUGGUGGAGAGUUUCCAAACUUGGAGAGUGGAGUGCCAGGUACAGAAUCAUCAAAUGCAAAAGGACUCUUCCUAUGAAACGCACUCUCAGAACUUGGAGAAUCUGUUCUUAUUGGGUUUAUACCAAAAUCACUGGAUCCAAAGUAAUCCCUGUGUCUCUCAGAAUCUGAGUCCUGCUGGUUGAAAUCAAAUUCAAAGUAAAAGUUAUAUUUUGUAACAACAGGCCCAAGUCAUUUGAUAGAACAUCAUGUGAAUCAGCAUUGUAAAAAAGGAGAAGAUCAAAAGGAGCAGGCAAUUGACAUUUAAAACCAAGACUUGCAUAUAUCAUUCUUUUAAUCUCUCUCUAACUUUUUGAAAGAUAGGAGUGAAUUUGUGUUUUUGUUUCCUUUAUUCUAGUCUGCACCAGAAGAAAGUUAUUUUUUGAAUUGAUAGAAGAAAAUUUUAUUAGGAUAAAAAAGACUACAAAGGCAUAGGAUUGGAUCCCCCUGAAAAAACAGAAAAAUAAAAAGGAAAAAUAAAAAAUAAGAGAAAAACUAGCUACUAUUAGGAAAGGAUAGCUGGCAGAUAUAACAACAUAAUUUGUAAAAUGAUCAUGUGCCUUACCUCAAAGAGAUGCCACUUAUCCCAAAGAAGCAAAAACAGAGAAAACAAUUCUAAAGAUCCUCACAUUCUCUAUAAAUAAGGCAACCACAAGCCAGAAAAGAGAGCGCUGCACAUCAAGCCUUGCACUCUUUCUGCUUGCAAAAAUCUCCAUUAGCAAAAGUAAUAAAUCCCCCAAGAUUCUUUGUAAAGCCCACAAGACUGAAAAUGUCAAAAAGCAGGGACCAAACCUUCUAACCCAAAGCACCAUGCAAACCUAGGUGACUAAGACUCAACAGCUUAAUAACACAUCACAUACACAUCUGGAGACAAAGCUGAUUAGAUCCGCAACUUUGGAGCAAAUCGUUAAUAUUCAGCCUUCANNNNNNNNNNNNNNNNNNNNNNNNNNNNNNNNNNNNNNNNNNNNNNNNNNNNNNNNNNNNNNNNNNNNNNNNNNNNNNNNNNNNNNNNNNNNNNNNNNNNNNNNNNNNNNNNNNNNNNNNNNNNNNNNNNNNNNNNNNNNNNNNNNNNNNNNNNNNNNNNNNNNNNNNNNNNNNNNNNNNNNNNNNNNNNNNNNNNNNNNNNNNNNNNNNNNNNNNNNNNNNNNACAAGACCAUCAGAGUGAUCAAAAAGAAGAAACAGAGUAUAUGACUUUGAGAUAAAUUAUAUAAACGAGGGAAACGAAAUGCCAAAGAAGCAACAUCAAUCCAAGGGUACUCCCAAGGCGAAAACAAGAACCAUAUUCAUCGUCAAUAUGGGGAAGGGGGAAAAUGACUUAUAAGGCUAGAUCUGGAGGCUCUUGUAAGUUGUUGAAACGUUAACUUUGGAGUCUCACUCAUUUCCAAGGCAAACCUGCCUUGCUCUUAAUAAUCCUGUACCACAGAGAUUCUAAAAGAAACUAUCACAACCUAAAUCCAAUAGGUAAGGAUUUUUACAGUAAGGUUCCCAAUAUCCAAACCCCUUUCCAGCUUUGGUAGCCAACACACAACUUAUCUAAGCAAAUGAUCCCUCAAAGUCACACUUGAACCAGACCAAAGGAAAUUCCUCAUCACCCUCCUCUAGGCUCUCUACAACUUGUCUAGGAAUUCUGAAUAGAGAUAGGUAAUUAAGGAGAUACUAGAAAAACACACCUAGACAAGAGUAACCCUAGCGCCUGAUGAGAAAAGAACACAUUUCCAACAUUCAAAACACUAGAGAUCUUAUGCACAGAAUCUGAAAAAGAAAUAGUUCGAAUUAGCCAACCUUCUAACACUCAACUCCUCUAAAUUAAUACUCGCUAGAAUCACUCUUCCUGAAGUUAAUGCGGAAUCCCAAAACCACUCGAAAAGAUGCAAGAUGGCAAGGACAUCCCAAAACUUUUCGAUUUCCUAAGAAGCAAUAGAAUUGUGUCAUCAGUAGACUAGAGGUAGGAAAUCUCAACCCCAUCAUUCCCUACGUAAAGGCCCUUAAAAGCCCAUUUUUUAUAGCUGCGAGAAAGCACAAGACUUAAUACAUUGACAAUAAUUGUGAAAAAAAGGGGAAGAAGGGAUCCCUUGCCUCAACCCCGUAUGCCCUUGGAACAAUCCCUAGACUUACUGUUCAUCAGAAUAAAAAACACCUCAAACUAGAGAUCAAACCUGCCACCUAACACCAAAACCUUUCCUCUCCAAAGCCUUAUCCAAAAAAUCUCAGUUGACUUGAUCAUAAACCUUCUCAAAAUUCAACUUAAAAUCCAUGUUCAUUUUCUCAAUCUUUGGAUCUCCUCCCACCACCUGAUUUGUGAUAAGAAAGGCGUCCAAGAUUUUCCGCAACCCAUACAAGCACUUGAGUAAGUAGAAAUCUUCUCAUCAAGCACCUUAUGUAACAUAAGAGUGAGCGCUAUUCAUACUCACCUGAGCAAACUACUCUUUGAUUGGAAUUCUUAUUCAAGUUAACUCACUGUUAACUGAAGACAAGUUCUCCACUUCUAUGUAAGCCACAGAUGAAGAUGAAGAUGUGUGCCCCCGAACCUGAUGAUCUAUCCAUGACGAGGAUGAGAUGGGUGAAACUAAGUGGAGUCCAAACCGACUGAUAGAUUAGCAGAUGAUCGUGGCUAGGUAUGAAUGNNNNNNNNNNNNNNNNNNNNNNNNNNNNNNNNNNNNNNNNNNNNNNNNNNNNNNNNNNNUUACAGGAUUAAAUCCCCAGACCGAGUCUGUAUCGUCAUUAUUUUCAAAGGCACCCCAGGUUGACUCAUCAAAGCUCCUGUCCAAAAAAAUAAUUUUUACAAAUAAUAAAAGACAAAUAAACAUGCCUUUACUAUGACUAGAAAAAACUGUUGGAUGUCCUAACAUUGCCGUAAAAACAAAACAGAAACAACCUAUACCUGUGUGUCUCCGCAUCUGCUUCGGAGCUCUUUCCAUGGUGGAUAUCAGAAUAUUCAGAGGACGGGCUUUCUGCAUGAAACCUUGCAGCUGGACUGCUCUGAGGGCUUCUCACAAGCUCAUCUUCACUGAGGGUAUAUAAAGACUCAUUCUCCAUAGGACGUUCUCCAGUACUCGGAAAAUGCCUUGGCUUUUCAUCCAAGUUGGACAAGGAAUCUGGAGUGAAACUAUCAUCUGCAGAACCAUUGUCUCCAUGAACAGAGGCGGACUUUUCAUUUGGAGAGACUGGUGCAUCUUUUGCAUCAAAUUUGAGCUCAUUGACAAAUCCUGGGAGCCAAAGGAGACAUUAGAUCCUUAAAUUGUCUGGGUAUGACUCUCAAAUUGUAGCAUCAAAUGCAGCAGAGAUAACCCAUAGAAAGCAUCAACCAUGUCCAACAGUCAAUACUAGCAAGAACAAGGUAUACCUUCAUCUUCAAACUUAUCCCAAUCCUCAUCCCAAAGAGCCGCUCCCCCUUGAAUUCCAGGUUGCCAGCCUUGAAGACAUUGCAAGAGAAAUACGCAUUAAUAGAGCUGUAGUAAGUUAUUCAAAAGGUUUGGUACGUUACGAGACAUCCAAAAAUUAAAACCAGGUGCAUUCAAGUGCAACAAGGAAAUCAACACGAGAAAAGAGCAUACAGAUUGUUGGGCAUUCCAUAAAAAAUGCCAAACAGAAAGUUUACUAAUUGACAGAUAUUAACUGCAGUUAAAAGCAACAUCCAAGCUUUUCCUAAAACACCAUGCACAGGAAAUACAACAUCAUAGUUCUUAACAAAUAAUAAACCAAAAACCUCAAACUUCAAAUUUGAAAGAAUCAAUAGAGAAAUUAGAUCUAUAUCACAGGAUAACCCAGUGAACAAGUACCAGUCGUAAGUCAAAAUCUUAUGAGAGACAAAGAAAAAUCUUCCCCAAUUGUACAAGCCUUGUGAUCGGUUAACUACAUAUAUCAGACACAAAACAUACAACAAGAAACAAGAAAGUUCCAAGAAAAUCACAAGAAGAAAGAUGAUAGAAGUUAGUAAUGGAUAACAUCAUAUUCAUAUAACUUAAUUGGAACAACCACCAAGCUAUUAGUGUCGCAAACCACUUUUUAUCAUAGAAGAUCAGAAGGAAAAAUCAUAAUAUAAGGUCCAUAAUCCGACUAGAAAUACCGAAAGGAAUCUCAAUUAAAGCUUUUGGUUUAACAUCUAUUCCAUGUUUCUUGCAACGCUCAGUUAGAACCUUCAUUAGCUCCUCAAGAUCUGAUUGUAUGCGAUCUGCACGGACCUAAAGAAGCAGCAAUAGAUCAAUGUUAGGCAAGUUUAAAUACGAACUUGUAUUUUCUUGUUAUAGCUAAAUGGAUUGAAUUUACCUGGAGGAUACCAUCUGCGCUGCCACCUUGUUCCAUAUUAACAAUUGCGUGAUGCAAUUCUGUCUUUCUUCCCUGAUGACCAGGCAAAAUUGAGAAACAAAAUGAGAUUCAUAAGAUAAAUUUUCUAGAAACAAACAUUUAGAAGACUGCUUAACAAUAUAGAGAACAUGAGAAUAAGACACCUGAACCAAAAUGAUGGCAAGAAGCCCAGAAAAGGAAAACAAAUUAUGCUAUAUCUCAUCAAGGAAAGAAACUAAUAUUUUGUGCUCUUCUUACCAAACACAAAGGGUAAACAGUGAGACACAAAGGGUAAAGUUAAAAUCUUUCUGUAUUCAGCUAAAUUACGUAACGUCAAACUAAAGAGAACAAUGCCAAAGGUCUGGAGAACCCAAGGGCAUCUUCAAAAAGAAAAAAGAACAAGGAACUGUUAUUACCUGUAUCUCACGAAAUCUGGCAUCUUCAAUGGUUAAUUUGGAUGCUACUUCUGCAACUUGUUUGUACUUUUCUUCAUAUUUUUUUGUCAAUGUCUCUGCCUGUAGCCCAAAACCAACUCAGAAAAUUCUUUUGUGAGCUAAAUACAAUUUUUCAUAGAAUUAGUCAAUUAGUAAGUACCUCACGUUUAUCUGCAGAUGCUCUUUCAGUGAUCUCAUUUAACCGAUUGUCACAUCUACUUUUAUAUAACACCUGAUAUGAAAUAAAUAAAUAAAUAAAUACCAUGUAGAGACAAGGCUGAUAUGAUAAUGGGCCAACAUGAACUUCAAGCUUUUUUAUGUAUAUGUUUAUAUGGUUAUCUUAAUUUCUUCGACAGAAACUAAUAAAGAGAGAAAAGUACCAGCAAUAUAUGCCAAGACCCUUUCUCUACAUGGUAGGACAGUAUUUAGUAAUGAUAUUAAACUGAUUUGUUUAACAAGAAUCACGCGAGCUAACUCUCAACCAGUUAUAAGAAUUGCCAAGAUUAGUUAACGAUUUUACUCCAUGUUUAUGAUAUUCUCAAUCAGGACAAGCUAUCUGAAAACAAUGGAUGUUGGAUAGUCUAGAGAAUAGGAUAUAAAAGGAGAGAACAGAUAAAUAAAGAGGAAUCCGAUGAUCAAGGUAAAGAACGAACAAAGUAGAGGAGACAAAAAAGAACAGAGGGAGACUAAAAUGGAGAUAUAUCAAGGAGACAGAAUAAUAAAGAAUGGAGAUAGAAUAUGAACCAAAACCCUAGCAAAAAAUUCUCAAUUCAAUAUUGCAUAAGGUUGUCUAGGUUAUUACAAUGAGAUUAUAAUACCAGCUCUGGGUUUUUGAGGAGUUCAACAGCAUCUCAAGGCUAUAGUAUUUGCCAAGGCAGUGGUUGUAGGACAUAUCUUAUUCUCCUAUUAUUAGUCUCCUUUUCCCCUUGUGUGACUGCUGCUUCACAGCCUAUCUAGCAGAUGGAGAGGAUGAAAUAAUCAAUCAAGAAAUUGUUAGACUAUAAAAACUGUACAAGCAGCUAAACAGGGAUGGUUUACAUUGAUGAAGUUGAUGAGAUGACUAAGAUUCUCUUGCCGUUUGAUCAACAUCUUAUUUUAUAUUUCAGUUAAGGUUAAAAUUUAACUUAAGGAGAUUGAUAUGAGACUGAAAGCUACUUUCCAAGUUGGAAGGAAAAUAUUCAGCACUGCUCAAGACAACAGGCAAAGAAGCAGUGUGUAAAUUUCAGAGUUUCUAAAAGACAAAUAAUUUCACCUUUUCCUGGACAAAGAAGGUUGAUUGGUUAAAUCAAUUAAGUCCAAAUUGGAUGAUGGUGACAAAGUCACCUCUGCGCAGAAAAUUCCAUCGGGAUACAUCUUGGCUGAGAUCACAAAAAAUAGUUGCAGGAGAUUUCUGACUCUUACACAGCACGAGGGAGGUUAGAGCUGGAGAAGAAUAUGUGUGAAGGAAGUCAAAGAGCAGGAUGGAAGGGUUUUCAAGACAUUGAAGCGAUUCUGCAGGAGAGAAGGAAUAGCUCCAACCAGCCAGCGGCUGGAAGUAGUAAAAUGGAAACUAUUCUAAUGGUGGAUCAAAUGGUGGAGGGUGGCUGAGAGUGGCUACAGGCAGCAAGACAACGAAGCAAAUUUUAAUUUUUUAAAGGUGUAAAAUCAGUCCUACAAAUAAGGAAAGAAGCAGCAAUUAGGAGAUGGAGGGAUAUGGACACCCAGAUAGUUAUGGAGAAUCAGCAAUUGUUAGCAAGUCAUUCCAUCAUCAUUAGGUUGACCUCAAAAAAGGAAGGAAAGUCCGCUGCCUUAAAAGAAAAACGGUUCAGCAGAAUUCACUCAAAAAUGCUCGAUUAAAUUGGUUAUGGACCAAAAUAAAGGGGCCCAAUUCAGAAACAAAACAGCCCAUAUAUGUCUCUCCUACUGAACAACUUAAUUGGGGCUGCAAAAUCAGGCCCAAGGGUAGGGGGAAAAGGGCCGUUUGGCAACCCAAACAGAAGAGUCGAAAGACCUAGUGCCUAUCUCCUAUCUGAUCCAAUUCAACAAGGUCGCAGGGUCCAUAUCUCAAUGAUGCCGAGAACACUGUUGGACAGAAACAGGCUGAUGACCAACAGCUGAGUGAGUGAGCCAAAUGCUAGCAUCAGAAUGAUUACACACCUAAAAUCCAUUACUAUCGCUCCUUCCCAAUGUUGACAGGCCAAAGGGACAGAGUGAAAGUGUGCGCAGAUCAACGGGAGAAGAUACAGAACAUCAAGGACAAUUUUAUGGCAGAACUGGGCGAACAGUCGGUUCAGAUGGAGCCACCGAAUCCGAAUACUAAGGCACAAGAGUGGUUUAGACAAACGCGAGGUGUUAGAUAGGGCAACCCUCUCUCUCCCUUUCCUUUUACUUUGAUGGUGGAUGGGUUGAGCAGGAUGCUGAUUAGGGGUUUAGAACGUGGGGUCGUUGUAGAGGAUAUGCGGCUGGUAAGGAUAAAGUCAAGGCAUCCUAGAUCAAGUUUAUUGAUGAUAAAAUCUUGUUCCUAUCACAAGAUCAUAGAUCAAUCUCUAGCACUAUCAUAGUCAUGAGGGUUUUCGAGCAAGUGUCGGGAUUUUGCAUCAAUAGGGCCAAAUAUGGAUUAGUAGGGAUUAAUGCGGAUAAUAGCAAAGUGAGAAACCUCACUGAGACAAUAGGGCGUGGGACCUUAUCUUGGCCAUUUAUGGUGGCAACCUUAGGUGUAAAUCUUUUUGGGACGGCACAGUUUAAAGUGUCUAGAAGGUUAGGAUGUUGGAAAAUGAGUCUUUUUUCAAUGGGGGGUAGAGUAUUCAGGCUUGUUUGUCUAGCAUCUCUCUUUUUUAAAUGUCCUUUGUUUAAGGUUCCGCCUGACAUAAUCAAGCAGGUAAAGGGUAUGAUUAGGAAUUUCUUGUGUGCUCGGUAUGGGAAGAAAGGAGGGAUCACCUUGUGACUUGGGAGGUUUGUUGUAGGUCUAAAACUUUCAGAUGUUUUGGUAUUGGGAAUUAAAAGUCUAGAUAUUUAUCAUUAUUGGUUAAUUGGCUUCGGCAUUUCCUGCAGGAAACUAAUUUUUUGUGGCAUAAAAUUAUCAAAAGUGUUCAUGGACAUCAAUAAAAUGGUUGGGAUGCAAUUGCAAUGAGAUCUUCACAACAGAAAGUCCCUGGAAGGCGAUAUCUAGUUUGCGUAACCUAUUUACACCUCUAACCAGAUAUAAGGUGGGGGAUGGCACCAAAUUCCUCUUUUGGGAGGAUAAAUGGAUGGGCGACCACCCCCUGGGUAUCCAGUCCCCUCUUCUUUUUUGUCUAUUCUCCAACCACAAGGCACCAAAAGUCCAGUUCCUUUGUCUUUUAAACGGCACUGUUAACUGAGAUUUUUAUUUUUUCCGGAGCCUUAAUGAUAAAGAAGCCAUUGGACUCCUAUCCUUGUUAAGCCUCUUAAGUUCUUUCUAGCCCCCUCUCAACAACCUGAUUAUAGAGUGUGGACCUUGGACUCUUCAGGUUCAUACACUUGUAAAUCUUUCUUUCAAUCACGCUACCAAAAAUCCAGAUCGCUACCAUAGCCUUUUUACCAAGGCUUUCUGGCAAGUUAAGGUUUCGUCUAAGAUAAAGGUGUUUGUGUGGACUGCUAUUCUA